CCUACGGGAGGCAGCAGUGGGGAAUAUUGCACAAUGGGGGAAACCCUGAUGCAGCCAUGCCGCGUGUGUGAAGAAGGCCUUCGGGUUGUAAAGCACUUUCAGCGAGGAGGAAAGGUUGGCGCCUAAUACGUGUCAACUGUGACGUUACUCGCAGAAGAAGCACCGGCUAACUCCGUGCCCGCAGCCGCGGUAAUACGGAGGGUGCAAGCGUUAAUCGGAAUUACUGGGCGUAAAGCGCACGCAGGCGGUUGGAAAGGUUGGUUGGAAAGGCCCGGGCCUCAACCUGGAAUUGCAAUUUAAAACGGCCAGGUUGGGGCUUGUAGAGGGGGGUAGAAUUCCAGGUGUAGCGGUGAAAUGCGUAGAGAUCUGGAGGAAUACCGGUGGCGAAGGCGGCCCCCUGGACAAAGACUGACGCUCAGGUGCGAAAGCGUGGGGAGCAAACAGGAUUAGAUACCCGUGUAGUC
rnacentral:rRNA from 1 species